rnacentral:rRNA from 1 species
UACAGAGGGUGCGAGCGUUGUUCGGAAUUACUGGGCGUAAAGCGCGCGCAGGCGGCCUUUUAAGUCUCGUGGUGAAAUGCCGGGGCUCAACCCCGUGCCCGCCGGAGAUACUGGGAGGCUGGAGACGAGUAGAGGCAAGCGGAAUUCCGGGUGUAGCGGUGGAAUGCGUAGAGAUCCGGAAGACACCGGAGGCGAAGGCGGCUUGCUGGGCUCAUGUCUGACGCUGAGGCGCGAAAGCGUGGGGAGCGAACAGG